GGGUUGUGAGGUUAAGCGACUAAGCGUACACGGUGGAUGCCCUGGCAGUCAGAGGCGAUGAAGGACGUGCUAAUCUGCGAUAAGCGUCGGUAAGGUGAUAUGAACCGUUAUAACCGGCGAUUUCCGAAUGGGGAAACCCAGUGUGUUUCGACACACUAUCAUUAACUGAAUCCAUAGGUUAAUGAGGCGAACCGGGGGAACUGAAACAUCUAAGUACCCCGAGGAAAAGAAAUCAACCGAGAUUCCCCCAGUAGCGGCGAGCGAACGGGGAGCAGCCCAGAGCCUGAAUCAGUAUGUGUGUUAGUGGAAGCGUCUGGAAAGGCGCGCGAUACAGGGUGACAGCCCCGUACACAAAAAUGCACAUAUUGUGAGCUCGAUGAGUAGGGCGGGACACGUGGUAUCCUGUCUGAAUAUGGGGGGACCAUCCUCCAAGGCUAAAUACUCCUGACUGACCGAUAGUGAACCAGUACCGUGAGGGAAAGGCGAAAAGAACCCCGGCGAGGGGAGUGAAAAAGAACCUGAAACCGUGUACGUACAAGCAGUGGGAGCACGCUUAGGCGUGUGACUGCGUACCUUUUGUAUAAUGGGUCAGCGACUUAUAUUCUGUAGCAAGGUUAACCGAAUAGGGGAGCCGAAGGGAAACCGAGUCUUAACUGGGCGUUAAGUUGCAGGGUAUAGACCCGAAACCCGGUGAUCUAGCCAUGGGCAGGUUGAAGGUUGGGUAACACUAACUGGAGGACCGAACCGACUAAUGUUGAAAAAUUAGCGGAUGACUUGUGGCUGGGGGUGAAAGGCCAAUCAAACCGGGAGAUAGCUGGUUCUCCCCGAAAGCUAUUUAGGUAGCGCCUCGUGAAUUCAUCUCCGGGGGUAGAGCACUGUUUCGGCAAGGGGGUCAUCCCGACUUACCAACCCGAUGCAAACUGCGAAUACCGGAGAAUGUUAUCACGGGAGACACACGGCGGGUGCUAACGUCCGUCGUGAAGAGGGAAACAACCCAGACCGCCAGCUAAGGUCCCAAAGUCAUGGUUAAGUGGGAAACGAUGUGGGAAGGCCCAGACAGCCAGGAUGUUGGCUUAGAAGCAGCCAUCAUUUAAAGAAAGCGUAAUAGCUCACUGGUCGAGUCGGCCUGCGCGGAAGAUGUAACGGGGCUAAACCAUGCACCGAAGCUGCGGCAGCGACGCUUAUGCGUUGUUGGGUAGGGGAGCGUUCUGUAAGCCUGUGAAGGUGUGCUGUGAGGCAUGCUGGAGGUAUCAGAAGUGCGAAUGCUGACAUAAGUAACGAUAAAGCGGGUGAAAAGCCCGCUCGCCGGAAGACCAAGGGUUCCUGUCCAACGUUAAUCGGGGCAGGGUGAGUCGACCCCUAAGGCGAGGCCGAAAGGCGUAGUCGAUGGGAAACAGGUUAAUAUUCCUGUACUUGGUGUUACUGCGAAGGGGGGACGGAGAAGGCUAUGUUGGCCGGGCGACGGUUGUCCCGGUUUAAGCGUGUAGGCUGGUUUUCCAGGCAAAUCCGGAAAAUCAAGGCUGAGGCGUGAUGACGAGGCACUACGGUGCUGAAGCAACAAAUGCCCUGCUUCCAGGAAAAGCCUCUAAGCAUCAGGUAACAUCAAAUCGUACCCCAAACCGACACAGGUGGUCAGGUAGAGAAUACCAAGGCGCUUGAGAGAACUCGGGUGAAGGAACUAGGCAAAAUGGUGCCGUAACUUCGGGAGAAGGCACGCUGAUAUGUAGGUGAAGUCCCUCGCGGAUGGAGCUGAAAUCAGUCGAAGAUACCAGCUGGCUGCAACUGUUUAUUAAAAACACAGCACUGUGCAAACACGAAAGUGGACGUAUACGGUGUGACGCCUGCCCGGUGCCGGAAGGUUAAUUGAUGGGGUUAGCCGCAAGGCGAAGCUCUUGAUCGAAGCCCCGGUAAACGGCGGCCGUAACUAUAACGGUCCUAAGGUAGCGAAAUUCCUUGUCGGGUAAGUUCCGACCUGCACGAAUGGCGUAAUGAUGGCCAGGCUGUCUCCACCCGAGACUCAGUGAAAUUGAACUCGCUGUGAAGAUGCAGUGUACCCGCGGCAAGACGGAAAGACCCCGUGAACCUUUACUAUAGCUUGACACUGAACAUUGAGCCUUGAUGUGUAGGAUAGGUGGGAGGCUUAGAAGUGUGGACGCCAGUCUGCAUGGAGCCGACCUUGAAAUACCACCCUUUAAUGUUUGAUGUUCUAACGUUGACCCGUAAUCCGGGUUGCGGACAGUGUCUGGUGGGUAGUUUGACUGGGGCGGUCUCCUCCUAAAGAGUAACGGAGGAGCACGAAGGUUGGCUAAUCCUGGUCGGACAUCAGGAGGUUAGUGCAAUGGCAUAAGCCAGCUUGACUGCGAGCGUGACGGCGCGAGCAGGUGCGAAAGCAGGUCAUAGUGAUCCGGUGGUUCUGAAUGGAAGGGCCAUCGCUCAACGGAUAAAAGGUACUCCGGGGAUAACAGGCUGAUACCGCCCAAGAGUUCAUAUCGACGGCGGUGUUUGGCACCUCGAUGUCGGCUCAUCACAUCCUGGGGCUGAAGUAGGUCCCAAGGGUAUGGCUGUUCGCCAUUUAAAGUGGUACGCGAGCUGGGUUUAGAACGUCGUGAGACAGUUCGGUCCCUAUCUGCCGUGGGCGCUGGAGAACUGAGGGGGGCUGCUCCUAGUACGAGAGGACCGGAGUGGACGCAUCACUGGUGUUCGGGUUGUCAUGCCAAUGGCACUGCCCGGUAGCUAAAUGCGGAAGAGAUAAGUGCUGAAAGCAUCUAAGCACGAAACUUGCCCCGAGAUGAGUUCUCCCUGACCCUUUAAGGGUCCUGAAGGAACGUUGAAGACGACGACGUUGAUAGGCCGGGUGUGUAAGCGCAGCGAUGCGUUGAGCUAACCGGUACUAAUGAACCGUGAGGCUUAACCUUACAACGCCGAAGCUGUU
rnacentral:rRNA from 1 species